rnacentral:rRNA from 1 species
UCAUAGAUUAGUGGCGAACGGGUGAGUAACGCGUAAGAAUCUGCCUUCAGGUAAAGGAUAACAGUUGGAAACGGCUGCUAAUACUUUAUAUGCUUUUUAAGUGAAAGGUUUAUCUGCCUGAAGAUGAGCUUGCGUCCGAUUAGCUAGUUGGUAAGGUAAUGGCUUACCAAGGCUACGAUCGGUAGUUGAUCUGAGAGGAUGUUCAACCACAUUGGGACUGAGAUACGGCUCAGACCUCUACGGAGGGCAGCAGUGAGGAAUUUUCCGCAAUGGGCGAAAGCCUGACGGAGCAAUACCGCGUGAAGGAAGACGGCCUGUGGGUUGUAAACUUCUUUUCUUGAGGAAGAAAAUUUGACGGUACUCAAGGAAUAAGCAUCGGCUAACUCUGUGCCAGCAGCCGCGGUAAUACAGAGGAUGCAAGCGUUAUCCGAAAUUAUUGGGCGUAAAGCGUUUGUAGGUGGCCUUUUAAGUCCACUGUUAAAUAUCACAGCUCAACUGUGAAAAGGCAGUGCGAAACUAAAGGGCUUGAGUAUGGUAGGGGCAGAGGGAACUCUUGAAGUAGUGGUGAAAUGCGCAGAUAUCAAGGGGAACACCAAUGGCGAAAGCACUCUGCUGGGCCAAAACUGACACUGAGAAACGAAAGCUAGGGGAGCAAAUAGGAUUAGAUACCCUAGUAGUCCUAGCUGUAAACGAUGGAUACUAAGUGUCGGGUACGCUGUUCGCAGGGUAUUCGGUGCUGAAGCUAACGCGUUAAGUAUCCCGCCUGGGGAGUACGUCCGCAAGGAUGAAACUCAAAGGAAUUGACGGGGCCCGCACAAGCGGUGGAGCAUGUGGUUUAAUUCGAUGCACGCGAAGAACCUUACCAGGA